GUAGCAAUUGAAUACCCAAACUAUUCUAAUGAAGUUUUUAACUUCUUUUUAUGUCUUGACUUUUGUUAACUACUGCAUUUUAGGCUGUAUAUAUAUACAGGAAUACAUGACGAGAAGUGAUUUUACAAUACUUAGUACCUGAACAUGAAUGCUUGAUGAAAUGCUUUAUAAUAUACACUGUAUUUUCGCAGUCGUUGUGAUAGUAGGCCAUGGAGAUGUUGCAUAUAUUCAAAUUUUGGCUUAGGCAGUGUGUUCUUAGACUCCGUGCAUGUCUGUUAGUUGUAAUGACUAAUCUCUCUCCAUGAAGUACAUAAUCUGUUUGACCUUUUUCCUUUUGUAGCAGCUAUAAUCUGUACUCCCUUCAUCUGGGUUUGUAGGGCUUGCACAGGCUUUUAGGUCCUCAACAUGCUAUAUGCCACCGAAAGUAUGUCUAGAAACUUCAUUCGAAUACAAAUCCAGUGACUGUUUAAUCGGGGUUUGGCAUAUGUUGGAACAGAUUAUGGUUCCAAUACUUUGUGGGAUGAGUACAUCAAGAAUGAAGAAUCACUUCAAGCAUGGAGUCAUCUAGCUGUGGUAUACACAAGAAUACUAGAGCACCCUAUAAAACAGCUUGAUCGGUACUUUAAUUGGUGAGUCAUUGACAUUAUUUAUGCAUUUAAGUACUUAAGUAUGUUUUCUUGUCAGUUGCCACUUCUACUUGUAUUAUGACUUAUCUACUAUGUCAUCCUAAAAUAGUACAGUGUGCAGGCAUCCCAAAAUUUCGCUCCAGAUGACUCAUUUAUUCCACUGAAAAACACUCGCUCUAAACAACAUCACCAUGAAAUUAUUUGAUCUGGCAAGUGUUGUGUGUUGUGUCGGCUCUGAUUCAGUUGCAAUUGAGUUUGUGUUGUUAUCGCGGAAGAAUAUUGUUCUCACUUAUGGUGACUAGAGUAGUGAAAUUAUGAUCAAUGACUAGCAAUUUAUGCUAACUGACUGCUUACUUUGGGGAGUGUGGAUGACUGUCAUUUUCUAUGUGCUUACUCUAUGUAAUCACUAUAGAGUUUUUUGCUUUCAACCAGUACAAGGCUAUGUGGAGAAAGUAUGUAGAAAUUCAAAUGGAAUUCCUGACACUAUGUAAGUUUGGUUUCCCAAGUAAUUGAAGAAAUGCUCCAAGAAUAAGGCCACCAUCAAUAUAUUUGUUCUUUUAUGGGCAAAAGAGUCUGCACGUGCAUUAUCACUUUUUAUUUGUUGAGAAGUUUCUUACCUUUGUGUUGGUCAAUUAUUUUUACGUAGAUUUUGAUAAUGUAUUUUUAGCUAAGAUGCAUUAGAUCAUUGUAGUAUAGUCGAAUGGGAUGUUCUAGAUGAACAUUUGUGUACUAUUUGUGGCAAACAUAUCUCCAAUUGUAUUAUUGGAAAUUAAGGAAAAUUUUGGCGUUU